AAGACAGCAAAGAGGAUACUAGUGAUAUCGGUCUAGCAGAUCAUCGUGAAAGUUCCUGUCCGAAAUUGAGAGCGCUGUGCACGUUUAUCCCGGAUUACAGCAAUGACAACUUCUGGAGACCUUCCAACGCAAGGAGGAACAGAUGAGUACGAGAAAAUGAAGGACAGAGAAGGAAACGAACAAGACAACGAAUAAACAUCGAGAUAUAAGAACCAACGAUACUCAACCUGAGAAGAAGUCGCCAACGCCUUCGAAGAAGUUCCCCACGCCUUCUCCGACGUUCUCGACGAAGUCGCCGACGGCGUCGAAGAACUGCGGGCGCGCCUCCGUCCCCUCCGCCGCCAACGCCAGCAGCAGACACAAAGUCACGGCCAGCAGAUAAACGGUUCGCAUCAUCUGUGGAUGGCGUCGUGGGAAGAAAACGGGCACUUAGCUCAUCAAGAAAGAAGACGCUUUGUUGCUGCUGGUCACUUCCGCUGCCAUAUCUCAGAAUCAUCGCAUAACAAUGGUGCCUCCGUGCACGCAAUCGUCACUUGUCGUCCAAUCUCUCCAGAG